UGGGCGUAAAGCGCACGCAGGCGGUCUGUUAAGCUAGAUGUGAAAGCCCCGCGCUCAACGUGGGAGGGUCAUUUAGAACUGGCAGACUAGAGUCUUGGAGAGGGGAGUGGAAUUCCAGGUGUAGCGGUGAAAUGCGUAGAGAUCUGGAGGAACAUCAAUGGCGAAGGCAACUCCCUGGCCAAAGACUGACGCUCAUGUGCGAAAGUGUGGGUAGCGAACAGGAUUAGAUACCCUGGUAGUCCACGCCGUAAACGAUGGACACUAGUUGUUGGAAUUAUUCAGUGACUAAGCGAAAGUGAUAAGUGUCCCACCUGGGGAGUACGAUCGCAAGAUUGAAACUCAAAUGAAUUGACGGGGGCCCGCACAAGCGGUGGAGCAUGUGGUUUAAUUCGAUGCAACGCGAAGAACCUUACCUACUCUUGACAUACUAGAAACUUUUCAGAGAUGAAUUGGUGCCUUCGGGAAUCUAGAUACAGGUGCUGCAUGGCU
rnacentral:rRNA from 1 species